rnacentral:rRNA from 1 species
AUUGAACGCUGGCGGCAGGCCUAACACAUGCAAGUCGAACGGUAGCACAGAGAGCUUGCUCUCGGGUGACGAGUGGCGGACGGGUGAGUAACGUCUGGGAAACUGCCCGAUGGAGGGGGAUAACUACUGGAAACGGUAGCUAAUACCGCAUAACGUCGCAAGACCAAAGUGGGGGACCUUCGGGCCUCACACCAUCGGAUGUGCCCAGAUGGGAUUAGCUAGUAGGUGGGGUAAUGGCUCACCUAGGCGACGAUCCCUAGCUGGUCGGAGAGGUGGACCAGCCACACUGGAACUGAGACACGGUCCAGACUCCUACGGGAGGCAGCAGUGGGGAAGAUUGCACAAUGGGCGCAAGCCUGAUGCAGCCAUGCCGCGUGUAUGAAGAAGGCCUUCGGGUUGUAAAGUACUUUCAGCGGGGAGGAAGGCGGUGAAGUUAAUAGCUUCACCGAUUGACGUUACCCGCAGAAGAAGCACCGGCUAACUCCGUGCCAGCCGCCGCCGUAA